rnacentral:rRNA from 1 species
UACGGGGGGGGGCAAGCGUUGUUCGGAAUUAUUGGGCGUAAAGGGCUCGUAGGCGGUUUGUUGCGUCGGCUGUGAAAUCCCGAGGCUCAACCUCGGGUCUGCAGUCGAUACGAGCAAACUAGAGUGUUGCAGGGGAGACUGGAAUUCCUGGUGUAGCGGUGAAAUGCGCAGAUAUCAGGAGGAACACCGGUGGCGAAGGCGGGUCUCUGGGGCAACAACUGACGCUGAGGAGCGAAAGCGUGGGGAGCGAACAGG